UUUUUAUUCUGUGAUUCCUCCGUGCACCUCUAGAAGAAAGCCUGCGUACCACAAUUUGAGAACCACUGGUAUAGAUAGAUAGUUAGGCCUUGUCUGUGUCAGGUUUUUCCUUUUUCAGCUAAUGGAGAGCAGGCAGAAGAGGGAGACUCAAAAGAGCAUCGGUGGACAUUUAUCUAGAAAAUGCUGGAGAACAGCAGGUAGGGCUCUGUCAGUACUGUCUAUGGGUGCGUUCCAAAUCACAUACUUGUACACUAUUCUAUGCCAUUUUGUAGUGUAAAUGGUGUAAGUAGUGUGUUCACACUGAAAUAUUCUUUUUUUUCGGCUUUUUUGCCUUUAUUUGAUAGGACAGUAAUGAGACAGGAAACGAAGUGGGAGAGAGAGAAGGGUGUAGGGUUGGGAAUUGUCUUUGAGCUGGGUUUCGAACUCGGGACGCCCUAUUGUGCUACUGCAGCAUAUGUCAGCGCAUUGACCACAAGGCUAUUGCGCUGACAAUAUUCUUUUAUUUUAAAAAGAUUAAGUUCACUUUAAAUUCACGGAUGAUGCUCUUAUUUAACCGUUUAAAAGAAGUGUGGACUGUGCACUUGAGGCUGUCUUUGUUUGUUUGCAGAUUGGAGUGGAGCAGAAGAAGGAGACUCACAAGCGGAAUGGUGGAGAUAUACUGCAAGACCUGGAGCUCAGGAAGCAGGUUGGCAUGGAGCAUGUGGAGGAACAGGGAAACGCACCUUAGUGUUUCUUUUUCCUGUAAUGGACACACAACAGACAGAAGAAGGAGACUCACAAGAGCAUCGGUGGAGAUUUGUCUGAAAACCGCUGGUUAACAGUUUAUGCAUUUCUGGAGUUCAGCAAGCAUGUAGAGCUCUGUUAGUUGUGUCUUUAUCUUUUCCAGGCUGGAGUGCAGCAUGUGGAGACAAAUAGGAAUCACACACCUCAGCAAUGGACACUAAUGGUCAGGAAUAUCCUUUAAAGGUAGAUGAAUAGGUGCAUGGAUGGAUGUCCUUCCAAGUGGAAGGGGGUGG